CGCACUGAUUUGCUCCCUUACCCUCAGCAAUCCCCCCACCCAGCACCAGGAGCCUGUCCCUCCCACAUCCUCACCUGGCUGAGCCGCAGUAGUUCUUCAGUGGCAAGCUUUAUGUCCUGACCCAGCUAAAGCUGCCAGUUGAAGAACUGUUGCCCUCUGCCCCUGGCUUCAAGGAGGAGGAGGAAGAGGAGAAGGAGCUGCUUUCCCCUUCAUCUGGAAGGUGACAGAACUGGGGCUGGGAAGGUCCAAACAGUGGGAGGGAAGGGGACCUUGUUCAGUUGGAGAGCCUUCGGCCAGAUUGGCCCAGCAAGAAAGAACAAUUUUCGAUUAGAGACCCUGGUUGGUUUGGGGAAUAGAUGGCUGUGACCAGCCAAGGAUAGUUGGUCUACACUGGUGUGACAAGAGGAGGGUAACAGAAGCAAAGAAAAUUGUCUACCCUUUUACCCAGAUGUCUUUCUUGGCCCUCCUUCCUUGUCUCCCUUUCUUUUCCUACUGCCUUUCCAGGUGAGGUCCAAAGUAAAUUUCUUCUUCAGGAAAAAGGCCAUACUGAAACUCCCA